GGCCUAUGAUGCAUUGAAUUUGUCCGUACCAUCUGAGAUACUCUUUCACGAGAUCAUCAUUGAUGUGACAAUCUUUCGCCUUUUCUGAGGCCU